GCCAGUUGAUGCUGACUCGAAAGGCUGAAGCUGCCUUGAGAAAAGCUGCCAGUGAGACCACCACUUCAGAGGGACUUAGCAACUUUCUGAAAAGCAAUUCAAUUUCAGAAGAAUUGGAGAGAUUUACAGCUAGUGGCAUAGCCAACUUGAGGUGCAGUGAACAGGCAUUUGAUUCAGAUGUCACUGACAGUAGUUCAGGAGGGGAGUCUGAUAUUGAAGAGGAAGAACUGACCAGAGCUGAUCCCGAGCAGCGUCAUGUACCCCUGUAUCUCCAUACAGCCAAGAAUAAAGAAAGAAAGGGAUAGAUGGAAUGAGUUUCAUCGUGAUU
rnacentral:misc_RNA from 1 species